CGUCAACCUAAUGUCUAGUAGGAGCAAGGCCAGCUCCGUCAUCGCACCGCUAAGUAUAUUUCCGUGUUCUACACUCGUGGUUAUUUCCGCACUAUGCACACGACAGUGACUUCCUUCAACAACUGGGCAGCAUAAGAGCGGACUUUCUCUCGCAACACCAGUGUUCCUUGCUACUGUGGAUAACAACUCAGAAGACAAUCACAUCAUCAUGUGCUGCUGAACAACAGUGACGUCACUCGCGUGACAGUGUGAUCCUCAAGAUGACAGUGCUUCGAAUUAUGUGUUACACAUCAAAAUAAUAUUCGGAGUUCAUAAAAUUAAUUUGUGCCCAUAAUUUAUAAAAUCAAAUUCUAAAAUAAAUUAGUUCCAGUGGA